UGGGGAUUAUUGCACAAUGGGGGAAACCCUGAUGCAGCGACGCCGCGUGAACGAAGAAGGUAUUCGUAUCGUAAAGUUCUGUCCUAUGGGAAGAUAAUGACAGUACCAUAGAAGAAAGCUCCGGCUGAAUACGUGCCAGCAGCCGCGGUAAUACGUAUGGAGCGAGCGUUGUCCGGAAUUAUUGGGCGUAAAGGGUACGCAGGCGGUUUAAUAAGUCGAAUGUUAAAGAUCGGGGCUCAACCCCGUAAAGCAUUGGAAACUGAUAAACUUGAGUAGUGAGGAGGAAAGAAGAGUUCCUAGUGUAGUGGUGAAGUACGUAGAUAUUAGGAGGAAUACCAGUAGCGAAGGAGACUUUCUGGACACAAACUGACGCUGAGGUACGAAAGCGUGGGGAGCAGACAGG
rnacentral:rRNA from 1 species